GGGGGAAGAAAAAUUAAAAAAAGGUGGAAAAAGAAAAGGAAAAAGAUAUUAUUGAAGAAGAUGAUAUAUAGACUCAAAUACAAGGUUCAUCCUUUCUUCUAUUCUAUUCCAAGAGGUAAGAACAUGGAAGCUUGGAAAGGCUCGUCAAUUUAAUCAGAUUUCUAUCCAUAGAUCUGGGCGGAGCUACCUAAGGACUAGUGCAGGCUGCCCGCACUGGGAUUUUAAGAACUGAAAUUUUAGCUAGUAGAUGCAGACAGUGCCUGCACUAGGAUUUCCGGCAAGUCCAUGCAUCACGUGAAGAGAUGAACACAGAGUGGAAAGCUGAAAGUGGAAGAAGGGUAGAAGAGUUUUUUCUUGGGCUAACUUCUAAUUGUUUUCUAAAUUGUAAUGUAAGCCUUUUAUGACCAACUGACCAAGAAGAGAAGAAGAAAAUGGAAGAAGAAAACUCCGAAGCAGCUGUUGCAGUGAAAAGCAGGGAUGAAUUGAUGGGGAAGAUGAGUUGUUGGGCCUUUUAGGAAAAAAAAUUAAAAAAAAUUGUGAACCUUUUGUUAAAUUGGGCUAUCUUAACAUUAGACCCAUGAUCAUAGGAUUCAUAGCCCACAAGCCUACGGAUGUUAAAAGUUAUAACCGUUCCUAGUUUCAUCCUAUUUCUAUAG